rnacentral:rRNA from 1 species
GCGGCUACCAUGCAGUCGAGCGCCCCGCAAGGGGAGCGGCAGACGGGUGAGUAACGCGUGGGAACAUACCCUUUCCUGCGGAAUAGCUCCGGGAAACUGGAAUUAAUACCGCAUACGCCCUACGGGGGAAAGAUUUAUCGGGGAAGGAUUGGCCCGCGUUGGAUUAGCUAGUUGGUGGGGUAAAGGCCUACCAAGGCGACGAUCCAUAGCUGGUCUGAGAGGAUGAUCAGCCACAUUGGGACUGAGACACGGCCCAAACUCCUACGGGAGGCAGCAGUGGGGAAUAUUGGACAAUGGGCGCAAGCCUGAUCCAGCCAUGCCGCGUGAGUGAUGAAGGCCUUAGGGUUGUAAAGCUCUUUCACCGGAGAAGAUAAUGACGGUAUCCGGAGAAGAAGCCCCGGCUAACUUCGUGCCAGCAGCCGCGG